CCUCUAGUUUUUAUACGACCGCAAAAUUUGAAAAAUUUUUCGUCGUAUAUUGCUAUCACGUUGGCGUUGUCGUCUGCGUCGUCGUCGUCCGAAUACUUUUAGUUUUCGCACUCUAACUUUAGUAAAAGUGAAUGGAAAUCUAUGAAAUUUUAACACAAGGUUUAUGACCACAAAAGGAAGGUUGGGAUUGAUUUUGGGAGUUUUGGUCCCAACAUUUUAGGAAUUAGGGGCCAAAAGGGCCCAAAUAAGCAUUUUCUUGGUUUUCGCACUAUAACUUUAGUUUAAGUUAAUAGAAAUCUAUGAAAUUUUGACACAAGGUUUAUGACCACAAAAGAACGGUUGGGAUUGAUUUUGGGAGUUUUGGUUUCAACAGUUUAGGAAUUAGGGGCCAAAAAAGGGCCCAAAUAAGCAUUAUUCUUGGUUUUCGCACAAUAACUUUAGUUUAAGUAAAUAGAAAUCAAUGAAAUUUAAACACAAUGUUAAUGACUACAAAAGGAAGGUUGGUAUCGAUUUUGGGAGUUAAGGUCCCAACAGUUUAGGAAUUAGGGGCCAAAAAGGGACCCAAAUAAGCAUUAUUCUUGGUUUUCGCACCAUAACGUUAGUAUAAGUAAAUAGAAAUCUAUGAAAUUUAAACACAAGGUUUAUGACCAUAAAAGGAAGGUUGGUAUUGAUUUUGGGAGUUUUGGUCCCAACAGAAUAAGGGGCCCAAAGGGUCCAAAAUUGAACUUUUUGUUUGAUUUCAUCAAAAUUGAAUAAUUAGGGUUCUUUGAUAUGCCGAAUCUAACUGUCAUGACUGUGUAUGUAGAUUCUUAACUUUUGGUCCCGUUUUCAAAUUGGUCUACAUUAAGGUCCAAAGGGUCCAAAUUAAACUUAGUUUGAUUUUGACAAAAAAUGAAUCAGUUAGGUUCUUGAUAUGCUGAAUCUAAAAAUGUACUUAGAUUCUUGAUUAUUGGCCG
rnacentral:lncRNA from 1 species